GUCUAUGGCCAUACCACCCUGAACAUGCCCGAUUUCAUCUGAUCUCAGAAGCUAAGCAGGGUCGGGCCUGGUUAGUACUUGGAUGGGAGAAUAAAUACUUCUGGGACCAUUCU
rnacentral:rRNA from 1 species